rnacentral:rRNA from 1 species
ACGGGUGAGUAACGCGUGGGAAACCUGCCCUGUACCGGGGGAUAACACUUAGAAAUAGGUGGCUAAUACCGCAUAAGCGCACAGCCUCACAUGAGGCAGUGUGAAAAACUCCGGUGGUACAGGAUGGUCCCGCGUCUGAUUAGCCAGUUGGCAGGGUAACGGCCUACCAAAGCGACGAUCAGUAGCCGGCCUGAGAGGGUGAACGGCCACAUUGGGACUGAGACACGGCCCAAACUCCUACGGGAGGCAGCAUG